rnacentral:rRNA from 1 species
GACGAACGCUGGCGGCGUGCUUAACACAUGCAAGUCGAACGGCAAGGCCCUGCUUUUGUGGGGUGCUCGAGUGGCGAACGGGUGAGUGACACGUGUGUAACCUGCUCUUGAUUUUGGGAUAACUUCAGGAAACUGGGGCUAAUCCCGGAUAGGAGCUCCUGCUGCAUGGUGGGGGUUGGAAAGUUUCGGCGGUUGGGGAUGGACUCGCGGCUUAUCAGCUUGUUGGUGGGGUAGUGGCUUACCAAGGCUUUGACGGGUAGCCGGCCUGAGAGGGUGACCGGCCACAAUGGGACUGAGAUACGGCCCAGACGGCUACGGGAGGCAGCAGUGGGGAGUAUUGCACAAUGGGCGGAAGCCUGAUGCAGCAACGCCGCGUGCGGGAUGACGGCCUUCGGGGAGUAAACCGCUUUCGCCUGUGACGAAGCGGGAGUGACGGUAAUGAGUAAAGAAGCACCGGCUAACUACGUG